rnacentral:rRNA from 1 species
UACGGGGGGGGCAAGCGUUAUCCGGAUUCACUGGGUUUAAAGGGAGCGUAGGUGGCUUUGUAAGUCAGUGGUGAAAUAUUGCGGCUCAACCGCAAAACUGCCAUUGAUACUGCUUAGCUUGAAUCACGUCGAGGUGGAUGGAAUAAUACAUGUAGCGGUGAAAUGCUUAGAUAUGUAUUAGAACACCGAUUGCGAAGGCAGUUCACUAGGCGUGUAUUGACACUGAGGCUCGAAAGCGUGGGGAUCAAACAGG